rnacentral:tRNA from 1 species
CGCGGGGUGGAGCAGCCCGGUAGCUCGUCAGGCUCAUAACCUGAAGGCCGCAGGUUCAAAUCCUAUCCCCGCAACCA